UGGGGAAUAUUGCACAAUGGGGGAAACCCUGAUGCAGCGACGCCGCGUGGAGGAAGAAGGUCUUCGGAUUGUAAACUCCUGUUGUUGGGGAAAAUAAGGAUGGUACCCAACAAGGAAGUGACGGCUAACUACGUGCCAGCAGCCGCGGUAAAACGUAGGUCACAAGCGUUGUCCGGAAUUACUGGGUGUAAAGGGAGCGCAGGCGGGUAUGCAAGUUGGAAGUGAAAUACAUGGGCUCAACCCAUGAAUUGCUUUCAAAACUGUGUAUCUUGAGUAGUGCAGAGGUAGGCGGAAUUCCCGGUGUAGCGGUGGAAUGCGUAGAUAUCGGGAGGAACACCAGUGGCGAAGGCGGCCUACUGGGCACCAACUGACGCUGAGGCUCGAAAGUGUGGGUAGCAAACAGGAUUAGAUACCCUAGU
rnacentral:rRNA from 1 species